AUAGCCUAACGGCUGAACCAGCAACUUGGAGGAAUGUAUAGCAAUAGCUAUUUGCACUAAAGAUUUUAGUGUAAAAUCGACUUUGUCGAAUAAAAUUCUGGAUAGAAUUAUGAUAAUGACAUUAUCUGUCCAUAAGUCUUGACCAAAUUACGUGCCAGCAGUCGCGGUAAUACGUAGAAGACAAGUGUUAUUCAUCUUUAAUAGGUUUAAAGGGUACUUAGACGGUAAGUAAAGCCUCCAAAAGGUACUAGUUUGCUAGAGUUUUAUGUGAAGGAGUUUUAAAGUACUACUGGUGUAGAGAUGAAAUUCAGUUAUACCUUACAUGGCACAGGUUAAGGCGAAAGCAUCUUCUUAUGUAAAAACUGACGUUGAAGGACGAAGGCUUUGUGUCUCGAACAGGAUUAGAUACCCUAGUAGUCUAAGCAGAAAAUGAUGAAUGUCAUAGAUUAGAUUUAAUUUGAUCUGUAAAUGAAAGUGUAAGCAUUCCACCUCAAGAGUAAUUUGGCAACAUUGGAACUGAAAUCAUUAGACCGUUUCUGAAACCAGUAGUGAAGUAUGUUGUUUAAUUUGAUAAUCCGCAAAAAACCUUACCACAAUUUGAAUAGAUAUAUUUUAUCAUACAAGCGUUGCACGGCUGUCUUCAGUUAAUGUCGUGAGACUUUGGUUAGUUCCAUUAAAUUAACGUAAACCCUUACUUUAUUUUUAAAAAAA
rnacentral:rRNA from 1 species